ACGAACGCUGGCGGCAGGCCUAACACAUGCAAGUCGAGCGAGGACUUCGGUUCUAGCGGCGGACGGGUGAGUAACGCGUGGGAAUGUGCCCUUCUCUACGGAAUAGCCCUGGGAAACUGGGAGUAAUACCGUAUACGCCCUAUUGGGGAAAGAUUUAUCGGAGAAGGAUCAGCCCGCGUUGGAUUAGGUAGUUGGUGGGGUAAUGGCCUACCAAGCCGACGAUCCAUAGCUGGUUUGAGAGGAUGAUCAGCCACACUGGGACUGAGACACGGCCCAGACUCCUACGGGAGGCAGCAGUGGGGAAUCUUAGACAAUGGGGGCAACCCCGAUCUAGCCAUGCCGCGUGAGUGAUGAAGGCCUUAGGGUUGUAAAGCUCUUUCAGCUGGGAAGAUAAUGACGGUACCAGCAGAAGAAGCCCCGGCUAACUCCGUG
rnacentral:rRNA from 1 species